GAUGAACGCUAGCGGGAGGCUUAAUACAUGCAAGUCGAGGGGUAACAGGGGCUUCGGCCCGCUGACGACCGGCGCACGGGUGAGUAACGCGUACGCAACUUACCUCCAAGCGAGGGAUAGCCCUGGGAAACUGGGAUUAAUACCUCAUGUGAUUAUGAUGCCGCAUGGUGUUAUAAUUAAAGUUCAGGCGCUUGGAGAUGGGCGUGCGUCCUAUUAGCUAGUUGGUGAGGUAACGGCUCACCAAGGCGACGAUAGGGUAGGGGCUGAGAGCGUGGCCCCCCANACGGGUACUGAGACACGGACCCGACUCCUACGGGAGCAGCAGUAAGGAAUAUGGACAAUGGGCNCAAGCCUGAUCCAGCCAUCCCGCGUGCAGGAUGACAGCCCUACGGGUU
rnacentral:rRNA from 1 species